UCGAAGGCGAAGCGCGGGGACUGCGUUGGCGCGGGCGGGCGAGCUGAGAAACGGCUGCCCCAAGGGCAGACCCCGGGGCUGCCAGUUUGAGGGACGCCCAGUCUAUAGUCUACUUCCUUUUUUAAGAACCAGGAUCAAGAGACGCGAAGAGCCGGUCAGGUUGGAGUGCAAUGGUGCAAUCUCGGCCCACUGCAACCUCUGUCUCCUGGGUUCAAGCAAUUCUCCUGCCUCAGCCUCCUGAGCAGCUGGGACUACAGGUCUCUUUCAUAAAGAAAACCUCCCACAUGAAAAAAGGCUUUUUGGAUAAAGUUUCUUUUUUUAGGCUGACAUAUCUGGUAUAAGUCGGCAGGAUUCAGAGUGAUCCUCACACUAGCACCCAGAGUUUUCUCUCAGACUCAGCUCUUCAUACCAGCAACAGAAUGGGUCCUCAGCUCCAGCAGACCCCAGGGUGCAAAGGGCGAGACCUUCUCAAUCUGGACUGCCUAAGAUUUUGAGGUGAGGCCUAAGCUUUGCGUGGGCUGCUCUUUCCAAUGCUCCCUUUCUGGAAUGGAGGCUCUAUCUUUGCCUUGCAGGCAAGUGAUUCAGGUCUCAGUGAUUAAAAAGGAAAACUACCUUUUCCACCUUGGGGCAGGUACGUCAAGGUACUGGCAGUUUAGCACUGGUGAUUUCACUUUACAUGGCAUGCUUUUAAAACUGCAGCUGCUUUCUACUAUUUGUAAUUUGAACUUGAAAAAAAUUGUGACCAAUUCCUAUUAGUUUUAUACCAAAAGGUAUAUGAAGGUGAGUUCUCUCGCCCCAAAUUAGAUUUGAGAAUUUUUUUUAGAGCUGUCCUUUAACGCCCCCAGAAAAACUCUUUAAACAUCUAAACUGUCUGCAGACCUUUCUCAGUCCCUUGGAAAUGUAAAUCUCUCCAGGUCUUAGAAAUGUUAACAUGCAUGGUAUUAGCAAGGCAGCAUUCCAGCUGAGAGCAGGCUUGAUACACAGUUCAUGUUUGUUGGACAUACUACAACAUUUAUUUCCUCGGUGGAUACCUUUUGCUCAGGAAAGAAACAUUUAUAAGAAAUUAAUUUGAAUUACUUGUCUCGGAUACUCAAUAAUGCUAUCUACUAAAAGAAAUCAAAAUAUUCCUCUCUAAGUACUAGGGAUUGGGAGCUGAAGAAGGGGAACAUCCAGGGAGACGCUGCCCCUUCCCCUGCUUGCCUGAUGGCAGAAUGGCAACUGAGAAAGACAAAGGUUUUUCUGCCUGCCAUUCCCACCUAAAGAUAGGCUCCUUUAUAAGACUUGCUUAUGGGCGCAGAGACAGCAGUGCCAGGGAAUCUAGGUGCAGUCUUCAUUUAUGCCGUAAGUUUACCUUCCCACCUUUUCCUGCCUUUUGGCACCACCCCCACAGGCAGCUUUUGUUUUCCUGUCAUUUUCACUGUCUCUUUAAAGCCUCAGUCUGGACAUUGUAUCUAGACGGUCAGCUGAGAAACUGAGACCCUAGGGAAUAUGGCUGGCCAGGGCAGAUUGAGGCUUUAGCCCAUUUGUAGCUAGCAAAACCUUCCUUCUUUAGAGCUGUCUUUCUGGUGGCUCUGUGUUGUACCUCUUUGGAGAUACUUGACAAGUCUCUGGUUAAAUCAUAACCUUCAUUAAUGCCUGUUGGUUUUGGUCAGUCACUUGGAAAGGCACCUGUGGUUUAAGAGAAAAAUAAAAAUAAAAAAGUACAAAAGCAGGGAUAUUGGCUGAUUUGUCCUGGCUGAAAUCUCAUAAGAGAUUGAAAAGAUUUAAGAGCUCUAUAGUCAAAAGGUAACUUAGUAACUGAUAUUUGGAAUAUAUAUAGUAUACACACACACAUAUACAUAUACACUAUUUUUGAGUCCUCUGUUCUCUCCAUAAGUUUCUCAGGUGACUGAAUUUCUUUUCUUAAAGCCCUGCUAGCCACAUAUACUCCCUAGGUCUGCUUCUCUUCGAGGAUGUGAUUUUUGCCAAAGAUAAUGCAAAAUUCAUCGAUCUUUACAAGAGCUUAAAUUCUCUCUCUGCUUUGAAAUGUAAAUUUGUUACCUUGUUCUCUAAAAUUUUGUGAGGGCUUUAGACACAUGAAACAGAUAAACUUUAACUUUUUCCAUUUAUGAAGGCACAGUUUGAAUCCAACUGUCCUUUUGAUUAGUGAAUUCUGUCCGACUCAUGGCUAAAAUCUUAAAAUCAAAGCUAUGAAAUCUUUAUUUUUGUCUAUGUUUUUAUGUACAUGGCUGUGUUUGUAUAUUGUCUACAUGGUACCAAGUGACUGAUAGUAAAUCAGUUCUCAUAAAUUAAGUAAAUAAGCCCAAAUGCUUUUCAAGUUCAUGUGACUUAAGUAAUCUUUGAUUAAUAAGGCUAGUUCUAAGAUUGCUGGUAAAAUAAAAUAGAAAUAUUUUCAGAAUUUAGACAUUUUUGCCUGGGUGUACUAGUGAAAUAGGUUUAGGCUAUUUCUGCUAGGUGUUUAAGGUCAUCAGAUUGUUGCUUCUGUGAUACUGUUGAUACUUGCAUGAUUCUGGGGUAUAGACAAGUGGACACAGGAAGGCCUGGGGACAUGCGAUGCCUGAAGGACCCUGGCCAACAGCUGCGGGGAGGAGCUACACCACAUGCCUUCCCUGGCUCACUUGUGCCCCCUGAAAAUGCUGGGAGAGGUCGGUUCUCCAGGCAUUGCCUUCAUAACUGUCCUUUUUUCUGGGUUCUGUAUCAGGGUACAUAAUUAAAAUUGCUUACUUCCUAAGACUUUUCACAAAUAUUUGGGAUACUAAGAGUUAACACAAAUUAAUAUAUGUAAUUAAAUCUGCUAGAUAAAAGAGAAACAAUUCUGUGUGCAAAGAGCACAAGAAAAGUAAGAUGCAUUUUUGCUUUUUAAAAAGGUUAUGGGCCAGGUGUGUUGGCUCAUGCCUAUAAUCCCAACACUUUGGCAGGCAGAGGUGGGCGGAUCACUUGAGGUCAGGAGUUUGAGACCAGCCUGGCCAACAUAGUAAAACCUCAUCUCUACUAAAAAUAGAAAAAUUAGCCAGGCAUGGAGGUAGGCACCUGUGAUCUCAGCUAUUUGGAAGGCUGAGGCAGGAGAAUCACUUGAACCCAGGAGGCAGAGGUUGCAGUGAGCCAACACUGUGCCACUGCACUCCUGCCUGAGUUACUGAGCAGGACUCUGUCUCAAAAUAAAAUAAUAAAAAUAAAAAUUUAAAAAGGUUAUAAAAAAGACAUAAAAAUAUGUGUUUUUCUUGGCUGGGCACAGUGGCUCAUACCUGUAAUCCCAGCAUUUUGAGAGGUCAAGGUGGGUGGAGCACAUAAGGAUCAGGAGUUUGAGACUACCCUGACCAACAUGGUGAAAGCCCAUCUCUACCAAAAAUACAAAAAUUAGCCAGGCAUGGUGGCUUGCACCUGUAAUCUCAGCUACUCAGGAGGCUGAGACAGGAGAAUCACUUGAACCAGGAGGUGGAGGCUGCAGUGAGCCAAGAUUGCACCAUUGUAUCCAGCCUGGGCAACGACAGCAAAACUCCAUCUCAAAAAAAAAAAAAAAGAAAAAAAAAAAGAAAGAAAAAAGAAAAAAAGAGAAAAAACACGGCUUUUGUUAAAGGAACAACAAUUUUGCAAUUUAAAGGUUGUUUUAAAUUAAUGGAAUACAAAAAUGAUAGAUAAAACUUAAUGGGCAUAGGUUAAAAAAAUUUUAAAAUUAUAAAACAUUAUAAAAGGUUUAUAGAAACUUAUCUGUGCAAAGCUGAAUGAGUUGGAUGGAUCUGUUUAUAAGGUUUUAUUAAAAUUAAUAAAGGACACAAUAUUAAUAACAUAUAAAUACAGUGGUAAAAUUUGGUUCUCUCUUUUGAACAAGGUUUUCAUAUUGUAUUGAUAAUGGAUAAUAAAAGGUUUUUAUUUACCUUUUGAGUAAGCUGCAAUACAAAAAGGAGAGAGAGGAAGACAUACGGUGUCAUUAUUAGAUCUUUUCUUGAUUUGGAAAACUGGGUCUCCUCUUUUCUUUCCUUCUUUCUUUCUUAUUUAUUUAUUUAUUUUUGAGAUGGAGUCUUGCUCCGUUUCCCAGGCUGGAGUGCAAUGGCACCAUCUUGGCUUAUUGCAACCUCCACCUCCCGAGUUCAAGCAAUUCUACUGCCUCAGUUUCCCGAGUAGUGGGAUUACAGGCACCUGCUACCACCCUGGCUAAUUUUUGUAGUUUUAGUAGAGAAGGCAUUUCACCAUACUGGCCAGGCUGGUCUCGAACUCACCACCUCAGGCCUUCCUCGGCCCACCUCGGCCUUCCAAAGUGCUGGGAUUAUAGGUGUGAGCCACCAUGCCUGGCCAAGUCUCCUCUUAAUCAAAGAGCAAAUGUUUUUGCUUUUUGAAAUCUUUGAAAAACGACUUUGACUAAAUGAAUAUUAUUUUACUGUGAUCCCAUUUUGAAAUCAAGUGUUUCAAGCCUUCGACAUCUGACAAACUUCUUGAAAUGGAAUUUCAAAUUCUAAUUGAGUCUUUUUUCACACUGAACUAACUUCUGGAGAUUAGGCCUUCUGGAAACACAAAUAGGGACCCUCGAAGUCCAAGAGAGGCGUAUUAGGCAUAUUUGGUAUGUGAAAAUGAUAGUGGAAGAUGUUUAACUUUUUUUUUUCUUUGAGGGGACAGAGUCUUGCUCUUUCACCCAGGCUAGAGUGCAGUGGCACAAUCUUGGUUCACUGCAACCUUCACUUUCCAGGUUCAAGCAAUUUUUGUAUUUUAGUAGAGAAGGAGUUUCACCAUGUUGGCCAGACUGGUCUCAAACUCCUGACCUCAGGUGAUCCGCCUUCCUCAGCCUCCCAAAGUGCUGGGAUUACAGGCGUGAGCCACCGUGCCCUGCUAAGAUAUGGUGUUUAACUCUCUUCAAGCUAUUUUUGUAUAAAUAUGCUAUUAAUAUGCAUUCUAUAGUUGUAUAAGAUACUUAAAAAUUUGAUGUGUCUUGACAUAAACAGUGAAUUGCUUUAUUCUGAUGCUCUCUUUUCUUAAAAGUUCUUUGUAAAGCUAAAGCAUUGUGUCUUCAAGGAACCUUAUGGAGAAGAUAAUGAAAGCACUCUGAAUACAAGUUUCUGAUAAUUUGGAGAUCAUAUCAUUGAACAAGGCAAAAAAAAAAAUCCAGAAAUCUGAUGAGUUCAUAAAGAUUGCUAACGCAACCUCGAGCAGAAUAAAAGUUAAGUACAUGACACUGAAGUGACAGAGCACUGAAAUAAUUCUUGUGACUUGUUUUUGUUUGAAACACAGUAGAUUCUUUUCAUGUUUUAUUUUCUAGCAUCAAGAAAACUUUUUCUUUUGAGCUAUUUAUAGCUUAUAGCAAUUGGGUAAAGUAUACUAUUGUGGGCAAAGGGAGGCAUUUAUCUUUCAUUCUACUUGAUUUUUCCAAAAUUUAGAAACUAUUUUCAUUGUGUGGCAAUAUAGUUACUUGCAUAAGGUCAAUACAGGUCUGUGUUCUUUCGUAACAGAGGGUGCUGAAACCACUAGUUAUUUUACCAAACCUUUGACCGGAAUGACAGGUUUUCAGACAUGACCGGAUGGCUUUGAGGGACUGAAGUUGACUUUAUAGCCAAUGGACUUGGAAAAUGACUGGCCUGGUUCCUUGUCCACAUGGUUUCCUUACAAGGUUGCUGACCUUGUGGUUGACAAUGGUGAAAAACAGAAUCCGGCGACAGGACUGGAUCGCUGUCUGCGCCUUCACUGUUGUGUUGCCACGUGUGGUGUCUCCCCACCCCCUGAACUAUCAGAAGCCGAGUCAUGGUCCCCACGUCUCCAGCUCUUCAGAUGAAGUCUUGCUCUGCUGCCCAGGCUGGAGUACAGUGGCGUGAUCUCAGCUCACUGCAACCUCUGCCUCCUAGGUUCAAGCGAUUCUCCUGUCUCAGCCUCCUGAGCAGUUGGGAUUACAGGCACCCGCCACCAA